rnacentral:rRNA from 1 species
CGGCGAGUGAAGCGGCAACAGCUCAAAUUUGAAAUCUGGCCCCCCCCNGCGGGGGCCCGAGUUGUACUUUGGAGAGGAUGCUUUGGGCGCGGCGCCGGCCGAGUUCCCUGGAACGGGACGCCAGAGAGGGUGAGAGCCCCGUACGGCCGGACGCCCAGCCCGUGCAAAGCUCCUUCGACGAGUCGAGUAGUUUGGGAAUGCUGCUCAAAACGGGAGGUAAAUUUCUUCUAAAGCUAAAUACCGGCCAGAGACCGAUAGCGCACAAGUAGAGUGAUCGAAAGAUGAAAAGCACUUUGAAAAGAGGGUUAAACAGCACGUGAAAUUGUUGAAAGGGAAGCGCCUGGGGCCAGACGUGCGCCCCGCGGACCACCCGGCGCCCCGCGCGCCGGGGCACGCCGCGGGCGCGCAGGCCAGCAUCGGCUCCCGCCAGGGGGACAAGGGCCGCGGGAACGUAGCUCCUCCGGGAGCGUUAUAGCCCGCGGCGCCAUGCCCCUGGGGGGGCCGAGGACCGCGCUCCCCGCGAGCAAGGAUGCUGGCGUAAUGGCCCCCAGCGACCCGUCUUGAAACACGGACCAAGGAGUCAAGCAUUGGGGCGAGUGUCUGGGUGCCAAACCCGCACGCGAAAUGAAAGUGAACGCAGGUGGGAGCCCGCGGCCCCUCCCGGGGGCCGCGGGCGCACCACCGACCGAUCCUGAUGUCCUCGGAUGGAUUUGAGUAGGAGC